CUAUUUUCGGAAAGCAAAGGGACUUUUUUUUAUAAAAACGCCGCGACGGUGAACCCGGAGACCUAAUCCGUGCUUUAUUAUCAGGGAGAGAUAACAAAAACCACUUAUUUUGAUAACACCUCCUAACCUCAGCCCACCCACCCACGCACGCACUUGCCUCUACAUCUCUUCCUCCCCUGUCCCCUCGAUCCCCUCCGCCUCCACCACCAUUCUUCCCCCCAGCCAGCUCCCCGCACCACCAACCCCAGCGCGCUGCUGGCCAUCCCCCCAUCCCUCACCCCCACGCCCCAGAUCCGUCGCCCGGAUGCGCGAUAGGAGCAGUUACUAGCCCGGAUGUGUCGCCGGGAGCCUACCACCCCGGCAUCCUCCUCCCGUGAGCCGGCCACGGGAUCCGGGCCUCCCCCGACCCGCCUCGCGACCUACCUCCCUCGCGCUGGCCUGCACCACCUCCGUCCAGCCGCCGUCCCCCGACACACGCGCCGCCGCCACAGACCUUCGGAUCUUGGCCGCCGCCAGCCCACCGUGCCACACCGGCACCUCCCCGGUCAUCUACUUCCUCGCAGGCCGCAUGGCGGGUCGCUGGCUCCGGCCCGCACCACUUCUGCGUCCCUCGGGUGCCGCCUCUCCCGGAUGGAGGUCUACCUGCGCCGCACCUAGGGACACAGAGGAGGCAGAGGCUCUAAGCCGCUAGCCUUCCUCACCUGCAGCACCUGGGGAGUGAGCAGCACGCCAGCUAGGAGAGAAGCGAGAGCACCGCCACUCCUCACCUCCCUCGCUUGGUUCUUGCAGUUCGGUUGCGCACACCCAUGCGGUUUGUCCCUGCUAGCACCCAUGUUGUCUUAUAUGCAUCGGAUACGACAAGCUCUAUCACCACGCGCCGGCGGCCGGAUCCCCACCUGCGCGUGUGCAGCCGGACUCCUUCCUCCACCGCAAAUCUGACCCCCUCCGCCUCCUUCUCAUUCAGUGCGUUGAUGCAGUUCGUUGAGGGCGAGCCCUCGCAGUCUCCGGCAUGUGUCGUGCAGUGCGGUGCACGCAUUCAUGCAGUCCGGUGGCGGUGCCGAUGUAAGAAGUGCGGUUAGCAGUUUGUCGCCAAUCAACCCCCUCCUACUCCGUUCGAGCUCCUUGCCGUGAUCAGGCCGUGGGCUCCUCAAUGGCGCCGGAGUGGACGGAUGGGUCCAGGAUGGCGAUGGCUCCGGUUGCCCAGGGCGAGGGUCCCCUCUCUACAGCUCACUAAAGUUUGUUUUGUAGCUCACUGAAGUUUGCUUUGCAGCUCGCUUGCUGGUACAGUGCAUUGGCAACGCCUUCGUGCAGUUGAAGCAACGUGUGCGUGCAGUACGUCCGGCGAGUGCGUGUGGUUCAGCGGCUAAAAGCAUUUGCAUUCUCCCUAUGUUAAUGUGUGUGGUUCAAUGCAUUUUAUAAAAAGUGCAGCAGGGUUGUAUUUUGUGUGUGAUUGUACUGUGGAGAUAGAAAAAAAGACUAUUUAUGUGGAUUAUUCAGUUUGUAAAAUCUUUUCUUUGUAAAAGCAGUGCGCUCAAUGAACCGAAGAAGUACAUUUUUCAAAGUUCAUUAUCAAAA